rnacentral:rRNA from 1 species
AGGCCACUGCUAUCGGAGUUCGAUUAAGCCAUGCGAGUCGAGAGGUGUAAGACCUCGGCAUACUGCUCAGUAACACGUGGACAACCUACCCUGAAGUGAGGGAUAACCCCGGGAAACUGGGGAUAAUACCUCAUAGACUAUGGAUGCUGGAAUGCUCUGUAGUUCAAAGGUCCGCCGCUUCAGGAUGGGUCUGCGGCCGAUUAGGUAGUUGUUGGGGUAACGGCCCAACAAGCCUGUAAUCGGUACGGGUUGUGGGAGCAAGAGCCCGGAGAUGGAUUCUGAGACACGAAUCCAGGCCCUACGGGGCGCAGCAGGCGCGAAAACUUUACAAUGCGAGCAAUCGUGAUAAGGGAACUCCGAGUGCCUGUAAAAUCAGGCUGUCCGCCAGUGUAAAUAACUGGUGAAGAAAGGGCCGGGCAAGACCGGUGCCAGCCGCCGCGGUAAUACCGGCGGCUCGAGUGGUGGCCACUAUUACUGGGCUUAAAGCGUUCGUAGCUGGUCUGUUAAGUCUCUGGGGAAAUCUUCCGGCUUAACCGGAAGGCGUCUCAGGGAUACUGGCAGACUAGGGACCGGAAGAGGUGAGAGGUACUUCAGGGGUAGGAGUGAAAUCCUGUAAUCCUUGAGGGACCACCUGUGGCGAAGGCGUCUCACCAGGACGGCUCCGACAGUGAGGAACGAAAGCUGGGGGAGCAAACCGGAUUAGAUACCCGGGUAGUCCCAGCUGUAAACGAUGCACGUUAGGUGUAUCGGUGACCACGAGUCACCGAGGUGCCGAAGAGAAAUCGUGAAACGUGCCGCCUGGGAAGUACGGUCGCAAGGCUGAAACUUAA